rnacentral:rRNA from 1 species
CGUGUAGGCGGCUGAGCAAGUCAGAUGUGAAAUCCCUGGGCUUAACCCAGGAAGUGCAUUUGAAACUGCUUAGCUUGAGUAAGGAAGAGGGAAGUGGAAUUCCUGGUGUAGAGGUGAAAAUUCGUAGAUAUCAGGAGGAACACCGGUGGCGAAGGCGACUUCCUGGUCCUAUACUGACGCUGAGACGCGAGAGCGUGGGGAGCAAACA